rnacentral:rRNA from 1 species
AGUGAACGCUGGCGGCGUGCCUAAUACAUGCAAGUCGAACGAAGUGGCGCACGGGUGAGUAAUAUAUAGUUAAUCUGCCCUACACCGAGGAACAACAGUUGGAAACGACUGCUAAUACCUCAUAGUGUAGGAUGAGACUAUAUCGUAUCAGCUAGUUGGUAAGGUAAUUGCUUACCAAGGCUAUGACUCGUAACUGGUCUGAGAGGAUGAUCAGUACCAUUGGAACGGAGACACGGCCCAAACUCCGACGGGAUGCAGCAGUAGGGAAUAUUGCGAAAUGGGUGAAACCCUGACGCAGUAACGCCGCGUGGAGGAUGAGACUUUUCGGAGAGUAAACUCCUUUUAUCAGGAAAGCGGUACCUGAUGAAUAAGCACCGGCUAACUCCGUGCCAGCCGCCGCGGUAAUAC